CCUGCCCCUAGAGGCUCUCCAGGCGUGACUGCUGUGGCACAUGUUUAUCAGUAAGUGCCAGAGAGGAGAAAGUCUAUGUCUAUGUUCAAUGUUUUGAUCUUAUAAACAUCUGAGUGAUCAGUGCCCUUGAAUU